GGAUAAAGCCACGUCGAGGUUCCCUCUAG
rnacentral:sRNA from 1 species